AGCGUAAUAGCUCACUAGUCGAGUCGGCCUGCGCGGAAGAUGUAACGGGGCUAAAACUAUGUGCCGAAGCUGCGGAUGUAUACUUUGUAUACGUGGUAGGGGAGCGUUCUGUAAGCCGAUGAAGGUGUGUUGAGAAGCAUGCUGGAGGUAUCAGAAGUGCGAAUGCUGACGUGAGUAACGACAAAACGGGUGAAAAACCCGUUCGCCGAAAGACCANCCAAGGGUUCCAGUCCAACGUUAAUCGGGGCUGGGUGAGUCGACCCCUAAGGCGAGGCCGAAAGGCGUAGUCGAUGGGAAAAUGGUUAAUAUUCCAUUACUUCUGUGUAAUGCGAUGAGAGGACGGAGAAGGCUAAAUCAGCCUGGCGUUGGUUGUCCAGGUGAAAGGAUGUAGGCAUGUAUCUUAGGCAAAUCCGGGGUACUCUAUGCUGAGAUCUGAUAGCAAGCUGUACUUGUACAGCGAAGUGGUUGAUGCCAUGCUUCCAGGAAAAGUCUCUAAGCUUCAGUUACACAGGAAUCGUACCCGAAACCGACACAGGUGGUCAGGUCGAGUAGACCAAGGCGCUUGAGAGAACUCUGCUGAAGGAACUAGGCAAAAUGGUACCGUAACUUCGGGAGAAGGUACGCUGUUGUUGGUGAUGGAACUCGCUUCCUGAGCUGACGACAGCCGCAGAAACCAGGCCGCUGCAACUGUUUAUUAAAAACAUAGCACUCUGCAAACACGAAAGUGGACGUAUAGGGUGUGAUGCCUGCCCGGUGCUGGAAGGUUAAUUGAUGGGGUUAGCGUAAGCGAAGCUCUUGAUCGAAGCCCCAGUAAACGGCGGCCGUAACUAUAACGGUCCUAAGGUAGCGAAAUUCCUUGUCGGGUAAGUUCCGACCUGCACGAAUGGCAUAAUGAUGGCGGCGCUGUCUCCAGCAGAGGCUCAGUGAAAUCGAAAUCGCUGUGAAGAUGCAGUGUACCCGCGGCUAGACGGAAAGACCCCGUGAACCUUUACUGCAGCUUGACACUGAACUUUGACCUUACUUGUGUAGGAUAGGUGGGAGGCUUUGAAGCUGGAACGCUAGUUCCAGUGGAGCCGUCCUUGAAAUACCACCCUGGUAAUGUUGAGGUUCUAACUCUGUCCCGUGAUCCGGGACGAGGACCGUGUCUGGUGGGUAGUUUGACUGGGGCGGUCUCCUCCUAAAGAGUAACGGAGGAGUACGAAGGUGCGCUCAGCGUGGUCGGAAAUCACGCGUAGAGUAUAAAGGCAAAAGCGCGCUUAACUGCGAGACCCACAAGUCGAGCAGGUACGAAAGUAGGUCUUAGUGAUCCGGUGGUUCUGUAUGGAAGGGCCAUCGCUCAACGGAUAAAAGGUACUCUGGGGAUAACAGGCUGAUACCGCCCAAGAGUUCAUAUCGACGGCGGUGUUUGGCACCUCGAUGUCGGCUCAUCUCAUCCUGGGGCUGAAGCAGGUCCCAAGGGUAUGGCUGUUCGCCAUUUAAAGAGGUACGCGAGCUGGGUUUAGAACGUCGUGAGACAGUUCGGUCCCUAUCUACCGUGGGCGCUGGAAAUUUGAGAGGAUCUGCUCCUAGUACGAGAGGACCAGAGUGGACGAACCUCUGGUGUACCGGUUGUGACGCCAGUCGCAUCGCCGGGUAGCUAUGUUCGGAAGGGAUAACCGCUGAAAGCAUCUAAGCGGGAAGCCUACCUCAAGAUAAGAUUUCCCUAGGACUUUAUGUCCUCUAAAGAGCCGUUCGAGACUAGGACGUUGAUAGGUUGGAUGUGGAAGCAUAGUGAUAUGUGAAGCUGACCAAUACUAAUUGCUCGUGAGGCUUGACUAUACAACACCCAAGCAGUUG
rnacentral:rRNA from 1 species